AUGCCGGAACCAGCUAAGACCGUCAUCACCAAGGAAAAGGACGGGAAGGAGACGGCCACACCAAACCCCCUUCAUCUACUUGGUUAUCUUCUGAACAAUCUUUCCAAGGAGGUGCUCGUGCAAGUGACCUCGAUCUGCCAUGCACAUGAGCUCUGGAUAGUGCUGGCGAACAUGUUUUCGUCCCAGUCGCUGUCUCGCAUCAACAACAUCCGCGUCGCUCUUGCGAACGCACAGAAGGGAAACCAGUCCGUUGCGGCCUUCUUCGCGCACAUGCGCUCCCUCGCCGACGAGCUUGCUGCUGCAGGCAAGCCACUCGACGACGACGAGCUCAUCUCCUACAUCACGGCCGGCCUCGACAUGGAGUAUCAACCCCUCGUUUCCGCCCUUGACGCCCGCACUCAGCCCGUCACCCUUGACGAACUGUAUGCUCAGAUGAGCAACUUCGAUCAAAGGAGGGGCACAAACUCCGGUGGUGGUGGCUUCAAGUCUUCUGCCAACGCCGCCAUGCGCGGUCGAGGUGGUGGCUCACACUACCGCGGGCCAACCCGCGGCAAGGGAAACAACAGCAACAACACCCGUGGCGACCACGGUGAUUACGGCGACCGCGGUGACCGCGGCGACUCUCGUGGCAAUGGUGGUCGGCCCUCCUACACCAACAACAGGGGCGGCCGCCGUAACUCCUCCAACAAGCGUCCUGAUGGCGUACGAUGCCAGAUCUGUGGUAAACCCGGCCACACAGCAAAAGACUGUUGGUACAGGUUUGAUGAUGACGGUGACUCGUCCUCGAAUGAGAAGGUGGUCGGGGCUGCUGAUGGCUCAUAUGGAGUGGACACAAACUAG
rnacentral:rRNA from 1 species